CCUACGGGGAGCAGCAGUGGGGGAUAUUGCACAAUGGGGGAAACCCUGAUGCAGCGACGCCGCGUGGGCGAAGAAGUAUCUCGGUAUGUAAAGCCCUUUUAGCAGGGAAGAAGAAAUGACGGUUCCUGAGUAAGAAGCACCGGCUAAAUACGUGCCAGCAGCCGCGGGAAUACGUAUGGUGCAGGCGUUAUCCGGAUUUACUGGGUGUAACGGGAGCGCAGGCGGCACGGCAAGCCUGAUGUGAAAGCCCGCGGGCCAACCGCGGGACAGCAGUGGGAACUACCGGGCUGGAGUGCCAGAGAGGUAGGCGGAAUGCGUAGUGUAGCGGUGAAAUGCUUAGAUAUUAGGAGGAACACCAGUGGCGAAGGCGGCCUACUGGACGGUGACUGACGCUGAGGCUCGAAAGCGUGGGGAGCGAACAGGAUUAGAUACCCCAGUAGUC
rnacentral:rRNA from 1 species